CCUCCAUUUGCUUGUGAACCUUUGAGAAAUUUGCAAUAUGAAUACUAGCUCCCUAGUUUAACAACUAAGAAUUUAAAUACACGUCUACUAAAGAAGAUUCAAAAUAAACUAAGGCCAAGGGACUUUUAAGAGCCUUUAGCUUAAAUAAUAUAUUUAUCAUCUUCAUAACGUGCUCCUUAACAUCAAUUGUACCAUCAUAUUUCAUAUUCAUUAAUUUAUCUAUCAGAUCCCCAGUUUCGACUUUAUCAAACUCAAUAAAUUUCUCUUUUAUAGCAUCCAUAAAACAUUUGACAUUUUCAUUGUCUGGGAUAGCACCCAUAAUGAAAUAGAAUAUAGAACGCUUAAUGAUUUUCAAGAAAAGUUUGUUGGUUAUUUUUCACUUUUCAUACUCGGCUAUAUAUUCAAUAGUGCUCUUAUCUGGGGGUUUCUCAAGUUUUUUCUCCAUCGCAAAGUCUAAAUCCAAAAGAUCAAGUACUAUUUUUACAUCUCGUUUCUAUAUCACAUAAUUAUUUCUAGUGAAGGUUUCAAUAGCAAACAAUUGACUCGAAGGAGAGAAGGCAUUAUAAACUGUGGAAACAUAAAAUAUCAUACACAAUACCAUCCAAAAUAUAAUGCAUGCAGUCAAAUGGAUGAUAAAAUAUCCAUAUAAUUAACAUGGGCUAUUAAUUAAAUAAUCCGUAAUUAAAAUCAAAAACAUAUGAUCCUUAUUAUGAUAAAAGACUAGAUGCAUCAUCAUAAAAUUACCUUUGGGCUGACAAUAUAAUAUACUAUAAGGUACUCUUAAAACACAUCGUAUAACUAGCUAACAAGAUCACAUUGGUUUUCAAAAUUCCAACAGCUUUGGGCAGAAAGAGAUUUCUAGACCAAAGAAAG
rnacentral:lncRNA from 1 species